rnacentral:rRNA from 1 species
GCGGAGGAAAGAACCAACAGGGAUUACCUCAGUAACGGCGAGUGAAGCGGUAAGAGCUCAAAUUUGAAAUCUGGCCUCGGCCCGAGUUGUAAUUUGCAGAAGGUGCUUCGGGUGUGGCUCGGUCAAAGUUCCUUGGGACAGGACGUCACAGAGGGUGAGAACCCCGUACGACCCCCACCACGCCCGCGUGAAGCCCUCUCGACGAGUCGAGUUGUUUGGGAAUGCAGCUCAAAACGGGUGGUAUAUUUCAUCUAAAGCUAAAUAUGGGCCAGAGACCGAUAGCGCACAAGUAGAGUGAUCGAAAGAUGAAAAGCACUUUGGAAAGAGGGUUAAACAGUACGUGAAAUUGUUGAAAGGGAAGCGCUCGCGAUCAGAUUGGACUUGGUGCUCAUCAGGGCUUCGGGCCUGUGCACUCAUCAAGUCCGGGCCAGCAUCGAUUGGGGGGGUGGGAUAAAGGCCUGGAGAAUGUGACCCUCGGGCGUUAUAGCUCCAGGCGCCAUGCCGCCCCCCGGAUCGAGGACCGCGCUCCGGCUAGGAUGCUGGCGUAAUGAUCGUGAGCGACCCGUCUUGAAACACGGACCCCUGUGUGAAAUUG